GCGCACAACCUCUUUUCCACAACAAUUCAGCUUCCAAAAUGCAGUCGGCGGCGCAAUUACUCGACGAGUUGAUGGGCAAAAAUCGAGAUAUUUUGCCUUCAGAAAGGUCAAAAGAAAUCAGAUGGGACCAUCCCUCGGUCUGCAAAAAUUUCCUUUGUGGUUUCUGCCCACAUGAACUCUUUAUCAACACAAGAUCAGAUCUUGGUCCUUGUGAAAAGCUUCAUGAUGAAUCCUUGAGGAGGCAGUUUGAACAGUCAACGGGUCGCGACAAGGUUCGAUACGAGGACGAUUUUCUGUCGUACCUGCAACAGAUUGUGUCAGAGGUCGAUCGUCGAAUACGCAAAGGACAUUCCAGACUAGCUCUCAGUAAUGCACAACAGCAGUUAAGCGCACCCAACCAAGCCAAAAACGAGGAGCAGAUCCGCAUGCUAACAGAGCGCAUCAACACUCUGGUGGAGAAAGCUGAGGAGUUAGGAUGCAGGGGGGAAGUGGAGGAAGCUCAGGGAACGAUGAAACUGUGUGAGCAGCUCAAGGAAGAAAGAGAUGAUCUCAAAUUAGCAGCAAGUCUAGCUCUAGAUGCUGUCCUCUCCCAGGAGAAACAGAUGGAGGUCUGUGAGGUGUGUGGAGCGUUCCUCAUCGUAGGUGACGCCCAGUCAAGGGUAGACGAUCAUCUCAUGGGCAAGCAGCACAUGGGGUAUGCUAAGAUCAAGGCUACAGUGGAGGAACUCAAGACUAAACGCAUGCAGCCAAUCCUGGAGCGCGAGGAACAACGACGCAAAGAGCAGGAGGAGCGGGAAAAGAAGCUGGAAGAAGAACGUGAGGAACGUCGCAAGAGACGUGAGGAACGUGAGAAGGAACGUGAGAAGGAACGCGAAGAACGGCGCAAGAAGGAGAAAGAGCGGGAAAAGGAACGAGAGAAGGAACGUGAGAGGCGACGGUCACGUUCCAGGGACAGGCGGAGGACCAGAUCACGUAGUAAGGAUCGACGACGACGGUCACGAAGUCGCGAUAGAAAGCGUAGCCGUAGCCGUGACAAGAACCGUAGACGCAGCAGGAGCCGCAGCAGGCACAGACGAAGCAGAGAUAGAAGCAGGGACCACCGACGUCGUUCACGGUCCGGCAGCCGUGACAGACGCCGUCGUUCCCGUAGUCACUCGCGCUCCCGUCGACGAUCCAGGUCACGGUCGCGCCAUUCGCGCUCCAAGCGCAGCCACUCAGGGUCCCGUAGCCAUGACUCCAAACGCCGCGAGUCUAAGAGCCAGGAUAAUACUGGACAGGAACAGGGGAAGGAGUCAUCAGAGAAACAGGCCAAUCAUGAGACUAAGGAUGUCACGCCAAAGGAGGACAACAAUCACGACAACGUUGAGCAUGGUGGAACCACAAACGAGGCCACUAACAAUUCACAUGAAGAUGAAGAAGCUACCGCAGUUGACAAUGACCUGGAAUCCAAGACCAAACUGGGCACCCCAGGAUCCGCCAGCAAGCACACCCCAGACAGGAUGGAAGAUGGACUCACCACUAAACCUGAAGGUGACACUUACUCUGAUAACUGAUCCACAGUUUGAAGGCCCAGGGCAGUUGACGAAAACAACCUGAAGACAGAGAUCAAGACACAAAACGACGUUGUUGAUGAUGAUUGUUGCCAUGAUGAUGAGGAAAUACUCACGAUGGAUCAUCAUUGCGAGCGUCUUCAACCUUCACCAACUGCCAGGCCAUGUGGACUCUCACUGAUUGUACACUAAGUGUUAUUGCCAAAUGCCUCUCAUGGGCAGCAUACGUCCAGGGUGUACGGUUUAGUCUUACAUGAAUCAUUCUAAGGUAUGUGGUUUAGUUAGGUACUCUAGUGCACACUGACGUCUGCUCAAGCCAAUCACAAGGUGGGUCACUUUGUCUGAUUUUAUUUGUACUUUCAUUAUUUUUUUUUGUGUAAAUAGUUUUGUGCAGUCCUUAUUGUUAUACAGGGACCUGUUUUACCUUGCAUUGCUCGGAGAUGGUUGAACAUAGAGCAAAUUGAUUUAAGAUGCAUCCCCCGUGCUAUUUCAAGUUGCACCCCGAAAAAUAGAUUGGGUGUUUUUUUAAUUUUUAUUUUCCUAACGAUAUAAAAGUUAUUGUCUUUUAAAUGAGACUUCAAACGAAAAUAUCCACCAACGUUUAGUUAUUUAAUUAUUCCUUUACAAAAUUGGAAUUAUUUGCCACCCAACAAUAAUUAGGUUAUCGCAGGGCAGAUUCAUUUGUGCUCAAAAGACGCCAAAAAAUCUGGAAAAGAAAGGGUUUUUUUGUCAAACAAAACAUACAAAUUGAAAAUUUGUGAGGCGAAAAAAGUAUUCUUUUUUAAGAGCACGGGGCACAUCUUUAAGGACCGAUGGUCAACUAGUAGUUAAUUCAUCAUUGGACCUUCCACCUGCACGUUAACGUUAUAUUUGGAACAUCUCCAGUUGAAUAAUAGUCAAACAAAUUCUCAUGAUCCUGGCCCCCUGCUGUUUGUUUGAAUAUGCACAGCUAGUGGUAACCAGUGAUGCACAACUAACCUCAGUAAAAAGCUGGCCCUAAAUAGUUGAGUUGACUUGCCAACUGUCAUUUAUAGUAGACGGUUAGUCCAAUUAUGGUUGAUCAUAUUUUUCAUCAAAUUUGGUCAUAAUUGUCAAAAGUGCUCAUUAUUGACUGUGAAGAAAUGCAUUACAUUGUUGCAUUCUUCACUUUGAAAAUUCCAGAAAUAAAUAUUAAAAAUAAAAAGGUUUACAAGCCAAAAUUUUAUUCCUUUUCAUUUACUCCUCGCCACUACUUGGAUUGAGCACAUAGAAAUGCAGAUUUUUAAUUUGCAUAAAACUUGUGAGUCUGUCAUUAGGUUACUUUGAAGUAGAAAUGAUUUGAGGAAGUGAACGUUAGGUCACAAUUGUUCCAUCAAUUGCAUUUGGAACUUGUGAAAUUGACAUGAUUGUUAUAACUGGAAAAUUAUAAAUAAUAUGAAAGACUUGAGUGCAUUGUAUUAAUUGUUAUCUGAAUAACAAAUUAUGUGACUUUUGAAGAAGUGUGCAGUUUUGCGAAGAAAUGUACAACUUCUAAAGAGCUGUAAUCCAGCUAAUAUUUUGAAUCCAUUAACAAACAUCUGUAUGGCCGUCAUAGUCUGUUCUAGCCUGGGUACCAUACGGUUUGGUCCUAUACAGGUAGACAAUCCUCAUAUGUCGGCAAGACGUGUAAAAAAAUCACCAUCUUCCUGUGAGGCUAUAUUCAACAGGUACGUUAUUAGAUAAAGGCCACCCAGAUGUAAAUUUGUGUUGGUCAUUUGUAUGUGUGUAAGAUCGGUAAAUCUUUAGUUUUUGUGCACAGAAACUAUUCCAGUGGAACUGAAUAUGAAUGUAAUGAACAGAGUGCCAAGGCUUUUCCAUUGUGGAAACAUUCAGAAAGAUGUUACGUUAAAUUGUCUUAUAUUCUUUGUUUUUAUUUGUACGGCAAAAUAAUUACGACAGAUUUCAAAUGUUCAAAGCUAUUGAUGUCUUGAAAUUGAUACAUUGUGAGAAAGGUUUAUCUACGGUCUGGAAGCAUUUGUCAAAAUUCCUCUUUGUUAAUAGAUCCCAUAGUUCAUGCCUAGCUAGAGUUUGCUUGAAUGAGAAAUAAAAAAAUUGAAAUAUUUAGAAAGAUUUAAGGCAUAGGACACGGAUGUGCUUUUAUAAUUUCAAUUUGUGGGUUAUUCGUUUUAUAAUGGUAACAUUUUUGGUUCUAUAACUGCUGGGGUGAUAAGCUUGAAAUAUUGCGACAGUUUUAGAAAGACGUUACAAUUUGGAAAUCUCUAUGCUACAGACAGAAUAAAAGUUGGAAGAUUGAUAAAUAAAAUUUCCAAUGAAAGAAGAGAAA
rnacentral:misc_RNA from 1 species